AGCAACGAAGUUAAACAACAGCCUCAAUUUUCCCCCUCUCAAACUCAAACUCAUAUAACACACAAACACAAACACAAACCACCAACACACUCUCACACACCGUUCUCUUCUCUCUUCUCAUGAAAAUAAGCUUAAUAUUUUAGUAAUUGAUAAUUAGUUACUAAAAGUGCCUGCCAUGGCUUUUCUGCUACCAAGUCUUCAACCUUCUCUUCUUUCAUACUCCAAAUCCAUAGACAAACAAGUACCCCUUCUCUUUAACCACCACCAUACAACAACAAAGCCCACCAUCUCUCUCUCUUCUUCUUCUUCUUCAGUCUUUGCAGUUUCUCAGGUUGCUCAGGUUAACACACCAACAACGGGUUCUCAAGAAAAGCAACAGCAGCAGCCAAAGGAUGAGUUCUAUGUUAAUCUUGGACUUGCUGUUAGGACCCUUCGUGAGGACAUGCCUUUGAUCUUCAUCAAAGACCUCAAUUAUGAAAUUUAUAGGGAUGACAUAACAUUCUUGGACCCUUUGAACACAUUUACUGGGAUUGAAAAGUACAAAUUGAUCUUCUGGGCAUUGAGGUUCCACGGCAGGAUCUUGUUCCGUGAGAUUGCCCUUGAUGUGUACAGGGUGUGGCAGCCUUCGGAGAAUGUGAUACUGAUUAGGUGGAAUCUUAGGGGUGUGCCUAGGGUUCCUUGGGAGGCCAAAGGAGAGUUUCAAGGAACUUCGAGGUAUAAAUUGGACCGGAAUGGCAAGAUUUACGAGCACAAAGUCGAUAACUUGGCAUUCAAUUUUCCUCAGACUAUCAAGCCUGUUUCGGUUUUGGAUUUGGUUACCGCAUGCCCUGCAAGUCCAAAUCCUACGUUUUUGUGGGGUCCUGUUGAUGAUUACUCUUCUACUUGGAUAGCGUUUUACCGGGCCGUUAGGGAGACCUUGAAUCAAGAAGGGAGGUUGCUACCGCAAGAUUGCUUAGCUACUUGUUCAUAGCCAUUGCUAAGUGAUCUGUUCCAUAGGUUGUAAUGUAUACAAUAUAGUUUUAUUAGAUUAGGUACAAUGAAUUUGGUUUAUAGCAUAAAAAAAUGGUUUUUCUUCAAGGACAACAAGAGUGUACAUAGAUAGGCCCAGGGAUAUGCAGAAGAGUCAAGGUUGCUCACUCUGUUGUUGGAGGAAAUGGAGAGACCCUUAUGUUUGUUGUUAAGCCAUAUGGGAUCACUCUAUAUCCUUUAAGAUUUGAGCUAUAGUUUUAGCUUACAACUCUUAUUAUCAUAUUAUUUUCUUCAGCCAUAUUAUUGAUUUUUAAUUUGUUGUUCAAGACAAGUUUAUCUGUAUUUUUUUUUCCCUUGUAGAUAUCUUUGCCUAUUAUGAUAUAAAGAUCACACAUUUUCCUAU